rnacentral:tRNA from 1 species
GCUCAGUUGGUCAAGUGUCUAACUCUUGGUUUCUGCUCAGGUCUUGAUCUCAGGGUGUGGGUUCAAACCCCAUAUUGGGCU